UUUAUUGCAAAAGAUCGCAAUAAUAAUUAUUCUCGAUUUCAAUAAUCCCAAAACCAUGGGAAAAAAAAAUUCACUCAAAGGGAAAAACAGAAGGGCAAAUUCGACAUUUCGCAUACGGCAAAUCUAUAACCAGGUGUUGUUAACAUCGGCAAGCGCAGAAACUGGGGACUUUCUUUGCCGCUCUCUCUCUCCGGCGAUUCUAGGUGCUCUCUCUCUCUCUAUCUAUCUAUCUCUAUCUCCGCCGUGACGAUUUCUCCGACGCUUGGUUACGCUAUGGUUGGACACUCGUGAGGCUUUUUGCUCUGACUGAAGAAUGAAUUGAAUCCAGAAUUGGAUUCGAUCGCAUCGCCAUUGCGGUAGGGGCGAGCUGUGGUGCGGUUUGUUGCCUCGAGCUGGUUUUUUAGAUAGCAUAAUGGAUAACAAAGAUGUAGAAAUGGAAGACGCCGAAAAGCGUGAUUCAGAAAAUGACAUCAAAGAAACUGAUGACAAAGUGAGCGACUUUGAGAUUGAAUUGAAAAAGGAUGAGCCUCCAUAUGCAGUUACUGUUGCAGAGGAUGCAAAUCAAAGCGAAAAUGGUGAUGACAGCUCGAAUAAACUGAGUAGCUUGAGUGAAAUGGAAAGUCAAACUAACUGUGUAGGUGAGACUAAUGAGCCAGUGUCGGUUGAGGGUGUUAAACAAACAGGUGAGAAAAUUGAUGCUGAAAGUAAAAAUGAAGGGGGAAUCAGCAUUGGUGCUGAUGCGGAAGUGCAAGCUGCUUCUGAAAGUAUAGUGGAUGAUAUAACCGGUCUCAAGAACGGAGUGGUUAAGGAAAGUGAUGCUAAUGAUGGGUUGAAAGAGGAAGAUCCAGUCGGGAAUGAUGAUGAAAGUGAAAUACUUGUGAACAAUGUGGAGGGAAAUUCCAGUUGCAAUGUUGCAGUGGAAAAGCCUAUAGAGAGUAUGGACACUGAAGAUUGUGUUAAAUAUGUUGCCCAAAUAGAAACAGCAGGGGAAAAUGUUGCAAAAAGUGAAAUGGCAGAUGAAAAUGUGAAUAGUGGGGGUGAGUCUAGUGAAAAUAAUGGAUUUCAAUCUGGAUUAUCUUCAAACGAGGCUCCUCAAGUCCAAAGUGUUCCAUCAGUUGAGGUUCCACAGAGUGGGGACAAAGAGGCAGAAUAUGCAGCUAAUGCAAAUGAGGAUAAAGUAGUUAAUGAUGAACUAAAACAACAUGGUAAUGAAGUAGUUCUUGCUGGCCCUGUAACUGAUGAGAAUACCAAGAGUGUGGAAACUGUAACUAGAAACGAAGGAAAUGAUUCGUCUAUACCAAAUACGCAUGAAGUUGCUACACCCAGUUCCAUUGACAGAUAUAUGCCGACAAAUAUGGGGAGCCAUAGCAGAGAAGCAGACAAGACCUUUUGUAGCCAAGCCACACUGAUGCCAGAAUGUGACGAUGGAACGCCAGAGGACCAAGCAGCAUUCAUAAGGGAACUUGAAAGUUUUUAUCAUGAGAGAGCAACAGACUUUAAAACACCUAAAUUUUAUGGCCAACCAUUAAAUUGCCUGAAGUUAUGGAGAGCUGUGAUUAGAUUGGGAGGUUAUGACAGGGUAACUGGAUCCAAGUUGUGGCGACAGGUGGGAGAGUCAUUUCAUCCACCUAAGACUUGUACAACAGUUUCAUGGACAUUCCGCAUUUUCUAUGAGAAGUCUCUUUUAGAAUAUGAAAGGCAUAAGAGACUAAGUGGUGAUCUUCAACUCCCAGUAGCAAUGCUCCCUGAAGCCUCCGGUGUUAUUACUGAGAGUAAUGACUAUCAAGGAUCAGGACCAGGAAGGGCUAGAAGAGAUGCUGCUGCUCGUGCCAUGCAAGGUUGGCAUGUCCAGCGCCUUUCUGAUUAUGGAGAAGUUGGUGAGCCUAUUAUAAAGGACAAGAACAUCAACAGUAUGGUGAAGCGUGAGAAAAACACCAAAAGCAUUGCUUCUCUCAAGCAAAAGAGACCAAAUGAGGGGGAGCUUCCGGUCAAGGCUAUUCGUACUGAAACAUCAAAGCAGCUUGUGACAUCAGUAGUUGAUGUGGGUCCUCCAGCAGAUUGGGUGAAGAUCAACAUACGGCAAACGUUAGUUUUACUCUGCAGAGGGAUUGUUUUGAAGUUUAUGCACUGGUCCCAGGGCUUCUACGCGAAGAGGUGCGCGUCCAGUCAGAUCCUGCCGGAAGAUUGGUCAUAACAGGUCAGCCCGAACAAGCUGAUAACCCCUGGGGCAUCACAACAUUCAAGAAGGUGGUCAACUUACCAGCCAGGAUCAACCCACUUCAGACGUCAGCUGUCGUUAGCCUUCACGGACGCCUCUUCGUCCGGGUUCCUUUCGAGUCAAAUAACUAAACAAACCUACCGAUAUCGCCUGCAAAAGUCGGGUGUGUGAAUGUGUAGCUUUUGACCAUUACAUGUGCAUGAUUUUGUUUGCAGUUUAGAUUAUUCACAGUUGAGUUCAAAGUUGGUAGUGUGAAACAUCAUUAACUUAUUAAUUCUACAGUGUAAGAUUUAAGAAGGAUUCUCAUUCUUUUCCUAA